ACACUCACUUUGGCAGCAUAUAUACUAAAAUUGGAACAAUACAGGGAAGAUUAGCAUAGCUGUUGCACAGAAGACACGCAGACUCAUGAAGUGUUCCAGCUUUUG